UUGACCUCAAAUCAGGUAGGACUACCCGCUGAACUUAAA
rnacentral:rRNA from 1 species